rnacentral:misc_RNA from 1 species
AAAAACCCCAGUUCGAUCUUCAGCAAGUGGGUGUUCAAUACGUCGGAAUUACACCUAAUCCAGCUGCGAUUGCAACUUCCUCCGCCUCUGUUUCACUCAAUAUUCGUAUGGUUUUCACUGCUUUCAAUGAUAAUAAAGUAGGGAUCAAGUACGGUGAGUCCCGGUUCACGAUCAUGUACCGUGGGAUUCCUCUGGGUCGGGGCUCCGUACCCGCGUUCUACCAGCCAGCUCAUAGUGUUAAGCGGGUUGAAACUACCAUCGUUGUGGAUCGGGUUAACUUGCUCCAAGCUGACGCAGCAGAUUUGAUUCGUGACGCCGCCUUGAAUGACCGGGUCGAGUUACGGGUAUUGGGUGAUGUCGGAGCUAAGAUUCGAAUCCUUGGUUUUACUUCACCUGGUGUAGAGGUAUCAGUGGAUUGUGCAAUAGUGAUUAGUCCAAGGAAACAGGCUCUCACAUAUAAGCAAUGUGGAUUUGAUGGUCUAAGUGUAUGACACUGUUAACCCACAAGUAACCACAUUUGUUGGACUUGGUUAAACAAAGAUAGAAAAAUGCAAAUUGCAAA